rnacentral:lncRNA from 1 species
GCGUGUGUUUAUGUGUCAUUAGCGUGUGGGUCCGUGGCCCCGGUGUCUCAGGUGUGCUCAGAGCUCUCUCACGUGUUCGUUGUGUGUUCGACGUGCACACGUGAGCUCCAGGUGUGGGUCGUGUCCUUGGCUCACCCUCAGCGUGUCCAGGUGUGUUUCACCUCCACCAGGUGUUCCCUGUCCAGGUGUGUUCCCUGUCCAGGUGUGUUCCCUGUCCAGGUGUUUCCAUGUCCAGGUGUGUUCCAUGUCCAGGUGUGUUCCCUGUCCAGGUGUUUUAGGCAUGGUUUUGGUGUGUUUUUUGUGUGUUUUAGGCAUGAUUUUGGUGUGUUACUUGUGUGUUUUUGGACAUGGUUUUGGUGUGUUUUUUGUGUGUUUUAGGCAUGGUUUUGCCGUGUUCUUGCCGUGGUUUUUGUGCAUUCCUGCCGUGUUUUUUGCAUGUUUCUGCCAUGUUUUUUGCAUGAUUUUGCCGUGUCCCUGCUGUGUUCCUGCCCUGUUUUUGCCAUGGUUUUUAACAUGUUUCUGCCAUGUUUUUGGUGUGUCUUUGCAUGGUUUUGUCCGUGUUUUUCCUGUGUUCCUACCCCGUUCCUGCCCUGGUUUUGCCUUGUUUUUGCAUGUUUUUGUCCAUGUUUUUGCCGUGUUCCUGCCAUGUUCCCGCCGUGUUUUUCCCCUGUUUUUGGUGUGGUUUUGCCAUGUUCCUGCAGUGUUUUUGUCCAUGUUUUUGCCGUGUUCCUGCCCUGUUUUCGCCAUGUAUUUUGUGUAUUUUUGGUGUGUUCCUGCCGUGGUUUUUUGCAUGUUUUUAUCCAUGUUCUUGCCAUGUUCCUGCCAUGUUUUUGCUGCGGUUUUGGUGUGUUUUUGCCCUGGUCCUGCUGUGUUUUUGCCGUAUUUUUGUCCAUGUUUUUGCCGUGUUCCUGCCCUGUUUUUGUCCAUGUUUGUGCUAUGUCCUUGCUGUGGUUUUGCUGUGGUUUAGGUGUUUUUGCCAUGUUCCUGCUGUGGUUUUGCCAUGGUUUUGGUGUGUUUUUGUGUGUUCCUGCCCUGUUUUGUCCAUGUUUGUGCCAUGUCCCUGCCGUGUCCCUGCCAUGUUUUUGCCGUGUUCCUGCCGUGUUCCUGCCCUGUUUGUGUCCGUGUUUUUGCCAUGUCCCUGCCGUGUCCCUGCCAUGUUUUUGCCGUGUUCCUGCCCUGUUUGUGUCCGUGUUUUUGCCAUGUCCCUGCUGUGUUCCUGCCAUGUCCUUCCCUGUUUGUGUCCGUGUCUGUGCCGUGUCCCUGCCGUGUCUGUGCCGUGUCCCUGCCGUGUUCCCGUGCCGUGUCCCGGUGCCGGUGCCGUGCCCGGCCGUUCCCUCGGGCGGCUCCGCCGGCGGCUGCAAAGCAAAGCUGGGGGAGGGGCCGGGGGGUUCCGGGGGUCCCGCGACGGCGCCUGGGGAGAGACGGGGUCACCCCAACCCCCCCGGGACCCCCGGGGCAGCCCGGGGCUCACGGCGCCGGGACG